GUUUUGCUGUCCCUCGCUGGUGAGCGCUGAACAGACCAGUCGCGCUUCUCCCUGUCCCAGGAGGAGCUGCGAGGAUUUUUGCGACUCCCCUCCAUUGAUGGCUUCUCUUCUUCUCCCUCCGCAGCUCACUUGUUCCCUGCCCUCUUGUCAUCGCAUCAGGAGUCAAAUACAUUACAAGACAAACAUUUUGGGGAAGAACAUGGCUAAGCCUACAUUGCGGUUGCUUAACCGAACUGUGAAUGCUGCGUCAAGGACUUCUCAAAAUGCUGUGGAAGGUUCAAGUGAUGAAGAUAGUGACAGUGAAACUUCAACUAAAAAGAAAAGAGCUCCAAGUCGCGGGAAAAAGAAAGCCACCACAGAAACAUUGGAAGGUGAAAGAAAAGAAAGCCAAAUAAGCUCUGAACAAGAAUCCCCUGAAGAGACCAAGAAAGUUAAGAGGCGAGGCCGUAAGAAAGCUGCUACUACUGCAAGCUCAGAGGAGGGGAUGGACAAGGCAAAGGAGCCAAAGAAGAGGGGAAGAAGAAAAGAUAAGACUACAGAGGAAUCUAGUGACAAUGAAGGAGAUGACCAGGGCAAAGAUCUGAUGCCCUCUAAUGAAAGAGAAGAUCAGACUGUGAUAAAGAAUUUGGCCAAUGACCUGGAAACUAAAAUAGAGUUAGCAUUGCAUGAAGAUAUUGGAGAGGUUGAUAGUUUAAUGCCACUAGUGUGCUGCUUUGGACCUGCUAAAUACUCAUUUAUUCCUUCUGGGAGACCUGCUAAUAGGCUGAUAGAUCAUGAGAUUCAUGAUAGAAUGAAGGACAUGUUUUGGUCUCCAGAUAAAUUUAUGAGGGCACCUGGAGGGCCUUCAUCCAAUGUUGCUCUAGCUUUAGCAGCGAUUGGUGGCAGGGUUGCAUUCAUGGGAAAAUUAGGUGAUGAUGAGUAUGGUCAAAGUUUGCUGUACUACUUAAACAUCAAUGGAGUUCAAACACGAGCAGUCUGUAUGGACCCUUCAGCACCAACUGCCAUGUCCUUGAUGAAGGUCACAAGCAAAGGCAGUCUGAAGGCAAACUGUGUUAAACCAUGCGCUGAGGAUUGUUUUCUGCAGUCUGAUAUCAACCCAGCAGUUCUAAAGGAGGCUAAGAUGUUUUACUAUAAUUCAUCAGCUUUGCUUGAGCCCACUACACGGUCAUCAUUGUUAAAAGCCAUUGAUGUUUCAAAGAAAUUUGGUGGUAUAAUAUUCUUUGAUCUUAAUCUUCCACUUCCACUAUGGUCAUCCAGUAAGGAAACCAUGUCACUCAUCACGGAGGCAUGGGAAGCUGCCAAUAUUAUUGAAGUCACGAAACAAGAACUCGAGUUUCUCUGCGAUAUUAAACCAUCUGAGAAAUUUGACACAAAUGAUAAUAAUAAGUCCAAAUUUACACACUACAGUCCAGAAGUUAUUAUGAAAUUGUGGCAUGAUAAUCUCAAGGUCCUCUUUGUGACAAACGGUACCUCCAAGAUUCACUAUUACACAGAAAAGCACAAUGGCUGGGUUCGUGGGACAGAAGAUGCACCGAUCACUCCUUUCACCAGUGAAAUGUCACAAUCGGGUGAUGCCAUUGUUGCAGCCCUCAUAAGGAUGCUGGCAAUUAACCCUCACCUGGUCACAGACAAGGUUUACCUGCACAAGGCAGUCAAACAUGCUAUUAAAUGUGGUGUCAUCGAUCAGUGGGUGCUUGCACGAGAGCGGGGCUUCCUUCCGAAAGAGAGAGCAGAUCCAACCAGUGAGCAAUAUGAAGUGAGGUUCAUCACAGAGAGGGAAUACCGCACACUUCCUGAUGCGUUGCAAUCAGAAAACUCGUCAACCAGUGAACUUGCAUACGUGGAGUGAAAAAGGAGCGGCUAUAUACUGGAUUCCUAUAUUUAUUAUGGGAACUGGCCUGGCUGCGGUAGCUGAAGUUGGGAUUCAUAACUAUUAGCAUAAACCUGCAGUUUUUAGGUUUGUUGAGUAUAGGCUAAUAGCCUCAAAAAUCGCUGCCAUAUGGAGUCACUAAUAACCAUGGAAUGGAGCCCCUUUGAUGUUAUCAGCUAUGCUUUUCGUUAUCCAGCAUAUCUAUGUAACAGAACUGAGCAGCGUGUUUCUUUUUCAGUUGCAACAAGGCAUGAAGGAUACAUGUCCUUGUCUCACAAUUGUGCAUCACUGAAUGGGGUGAACAUGGAGGACUCGUAACUCUUCAAGCAGAGUGAUAUGUUUGAAGAUCAGAUAGCUAGCUUGACUUGGCCGUGUACUUUACCUCCUGGUUGGUCGGUGGAGUGGGAUACGACUCCGGCCAACAAUGACAAUGCCGAGUGAUGUCAUGUACGGGCUUCAUCAUGACAUCUUGUGUCGUCGUUUAGAACUCGCUUUAUUUCCGCUGUAGUUGAACACUGAACUACUUUCAAUUUGAACUUCAAGUACCUUUCUGAGAUUUCGAACUUGGUUUGUAAUAAUUAAGUUAAGACUCUGUAAUGUAAUGUAUUU